rnacentral:rRNA from 1 species
UAGGGAAUAUUGCGCAAUGGACGCAAGUCUGACGCAGCAACGCCGCGUGGGUGAUGACGUUUUUCGGAAUGUAAAACCCUGUCAGUGGGGAAGAACCGUAUCGGGAGUCACUGCCCGGUGCCUGACGGUACCCACAGAGGAAGUCCCGGCUAACUCCGUGCCAGCAGCCGCGGUAAUACGGGGGGGACAAGCGUUGUUCGGAUUUACUGGGUGUAAAGGGCGCGUAGGCGGGCCGCAAAGUCGGCGGUGUCAUCCCCGGGCUUAACUCGGGGGCUGCCGUCGAUACUGGCGGUCUUGAGUACAGGAGAGGAGAGUGGAAUUCCAGGUGUAGCGGUGAAAUGCGUAGAUAUCUGGAAGAACACCCGUUGCGAAGGCGGCUCUCUGGACUGCUACUGACGCUGAGGCGCGAAGGCUUGGGGAGCAAACAGG